GCAAACUUGGUCAUUUAGAGGAAGUAAAAGUCGUAACAAGGUCUCCGUUGGUGAACCAGCGGAGGGAUCAUUAGAGGGUCGUAAGGCCUCCUAAUCUCUUCAACCAAUCUGCGUACUACCCGAGGGGGCCUUCUAGGCCAUUUACAUAUACUGCCUCGGUCGGCGGCCCCAGGGGGGGCCUCUGCUCGCGUCUGGCGCAUGACUGCCUAGGCGCGGGUGCCGGCCGGUGGCCCAAACUUAAACUACUAUAUAAUACCUAUUUUCUGAAGAAAUGAGAAAUCAUUACAACCUGCAACGAUGGAUCUCUUGGUUCUGGCAUCGAUGAAGAACGCAGC
rnacentral:misc_RNA from 1 species